GAUGAAGAACGCAGCGAAAUGCGAUAAGUAAUGUGAAUUGCAGAAUUCAGUGAAUCAUCGAAUCUUUGAACGCACCUUGCGCUCUUUGGUAUUCCGAAGAGCAUGCCUGUUUGAGUGUCAUGAAAAUAUCAACCUUGACUUGGGUUUUGUGCUCUGGUCUCGGCUUGGAAUUGGGUGCUUGCCGCUUUUACGAGCGGCUCACCUUAAAUGUAUUAGCUGGAUCUGUCUUUGAGACUUGGUUUGACUUGGCGUAAUAAGUAUUUCGCUAAGGACAUUCUUCGGAGUGGCCUCGUUUCUAGGACGCUUGUCCGCUUUCCAAUACAAGUUCCACCCCGUGGACAUGACUUUUUAUUAUCUGGCCUCAAAUCAGGUAGGACUACCCGCUGAACUUAAGCAUAUCAAUAAGCGGAGGA
rnacentral:misc_RNA from 1 species